GAUGAACGCUAGCGGCAGGCUUAAUACAUGCAAGUUGAGGGGCAGCAUGAUAUACGCGAGUAUAUUGAUGGCGACCGGCGGACGGGUGAGUAAUAGGUAGGAGACCUACCUCAUACAGGGGGAUAGCAUAGAGAAAUCUGUGGUAAUACCCCAUGAGGUUAUAUGAAUAGAGGCAUAUAAUCAAAGCAUAAGUGAUUAUGCGGUAUGAGAGGGGCCUACUGACCAUUAGCUAGUUGGUGAGGUAAGGGCUCACCAAGGCGAAGAUGGUUAGGGGUUUUGAGAGAGAGACCCCCCACAUUGGAACUGAGAGACGGUCCAGACUCCUACGGGAGGCAGCAGUAGGGAAUUUUGGACAAUGGGCGAAAGCCUGAUCCAGCCAUGCCGCGUGCAGGAUGAAGGCCUUCGGGUUGUAAACUGCUUUUGUACGGAACGAAAAGACUCCUUCUAAUAAAGGGGUCCAUGACGGUACCGUAAGAAUAAGCACCGGCUAACUACGUGCC
rnacentral:rRNA from 1 species